rnacentral:rRNA from 1 species
CCUUACCUACCCUUGACAUGGUCGGAAUCCUGAAGAGAUUCGGGAGUGCUCGAAAGAGAACCGACGCACAGGUGCUGCAUGGCUGUCGUCAGCUCGUGUCGUGAGAUGUUGGGUUAAGUCCCGCAACGAGCGCAACCCUUGUCCUUAGUUGCUACGCAAGAGCACUCUAAGGAGACUGCCGGUGACAAACCGGAGGAAGGUGGGGAUGACGUCAAGUCCUCAUGGCCCUUAUGGGUAGGGCUUCACACGUCAUACAAUGGUCUUUAACAGAGGGUUGCCAACCCGCGAGGGGGAGCUAAUCCCAGCCCCCCUUCUUAGUCCGGAUUGCACUCUGCAACUCGAGUGCAUGAAGCUGGAAUCGCUAGUAAUCGCGGA